CACUCUGGGAUAAGCCUUGGAAACGGGGUCUAAUACUGGAUAUUCAUACAUGGUCGCAUGGUUGUGUGUGGAAAGAUUUUUUGGUGGGGGAUGGACUCGCGGCCUAUCAGCUUGUUGCUGAGGUAGCGGCUUACCAAGGCUUUGACGGGUAGCCGGCCUGAGAGGGUGACCGGCCACACUGGGACUGAGACACGGCCCAGACUCCUACGGGAGGCAGCAGUGGGGAAUAUUGCACAAUGGGCGAAAGCCUGAUGCAGCGACGCCGCGUGAGGGAUGACGGCCUUCGGGUUGUAAACCUCUUUCAGUAGGGACGAAGCGAGAGUGACGGUACCUGCAGAAGAAGCACCGGCUAACUACGUGCCAGCAGCCGCGGUAAUACGUAGGGUGCGAGCGUUGUCCGGAAUUAUUGGGCGUAAAGAGCUUGUAGGCGGUUUGUCGCGUCUGCUGUGAAAGACCGGGGCUUAACUCCGGUUCUGCAGUGGGUACGGGCAGGCUAGAGUAUGGUAGGGGAGACUGGAAUUCCUGGUGUAGCGGUGAAAUGCGCAGAUAUCAGGAGGAACACCGAUGGCGAAGGCAGGUCUCUGGGCCAUUACUGACGCUGAGAAGCGAAAGCAUGGGGAGCGAACAGGAUUAGAUACCCUGGUAGUCCAUGCCGUAAACGUUGGGCGCUAGGUGUGGGACUCAUUCCACGAGUUCCGUGCCGCAGCUAACGCAUUAAGCGCCCCGCCUGGGGAGUACGGCCGCAAGGCUAAAACUCAAAGGAAUUGACGGGGGCCCGCACAAGCGGCGGAGCAUGCGGAUUAAUUCGAUGCAACGCGAAGAACCUUACCAAGGCUUGACAUACACCGGAAGCAUGCAGAGAUGUGUGUGCCUUUUGGCUGGUGUACAGGUGGUGCAUGGUUGUCGUCAGCUCGUGUCGUGAGAUGUUGGGUUAAGUCCCGCAACGAGCGCAACCCUCGUUCCAUGUUGCCAGCACGUGAUGGUGGGGACUCAUGGGAGACUGCCGGGGUCAACUCGGAGGAAGGUGGGGAUGACGUCAAAUCAUCAUGCCCCUUAUGUCUUGGGCUUCACGCAUGCUACAAUGGCUGGUACAGAGGGCUGCGAUACCGUGAGGUGGAGCGAAUCCCUUAAAACCGGUCUCAGUUCGGAUUGGGGUCUGCAACUCGACCCCAUGAAGUUGGAGUCGCUAGUAAUCGCAGAUCAGCAGUGCUGCGGUGAAUACGUUCCCGGG
rnacentral:rRNA from 1 species